CCUACGGGAGGCAGCAGUGAGGAAUAUUGGUCAAUGGGCGAGAGCCUGAACCAGCCAAGUCGCGUGAAGGAUGACGGCCCUACGGGUUGUAAACUUCUUUUGUCAGGGAGCAAUUGAGUCCACGUGUGGUCUUAGCGAGAGUACCUGAAGAAAAAGCAUCGGCUAACUCCGUGCCAGCAGCCGCGGUAAUACGUAGGUGGCAAGCGUUGUUCGGAAUAACUGGGCGUAAAGGAUGCGUAGGCGGUUAAACAAGUUAUAUGUUAAAUAUAUAGGCUUAACCUGUAGAAAGCAUAUAAAACUGUUUAACUAGAGUGCAGGAGAGGUAAGUGGAAUUCCUAGUGUAGCGGUGAAAUGCGUAGAGAUUAGGAAGAACACCAGUGGCGAAGGCGACUUACUGGACUGUAACUGACGCUGAGGCAUGAGAGCAUGGGGAGCAAACAGGAUUAGAUACCCCUGUAGUC
rnacentral:rRNA from 1 species